rnacentral:rRNA from 1 species
UACGUAGGUGGCAAGCGAUACUCGGAAUCACUAGGCGUAAAGCGCAGGUAGGCGGUUUGGUAAGUCUUUUGUGAAAGCUCCUGGCUCAACUGGGAGAGGUCAAGGGAAAUUACCGGACUAGAGUGUGGUAGGGGAUACUGGAAUUCCUGGUGUAGCGGUGAAAUGCGUAGAUAUCAGGAGGAAUACCUAUGGCGAAAGCAGGUAUCUGGGCCAUCACUGACGCUGAGCUGCGAAAGCUAGGGGAGCAAACAGG